UCUCCGUUGGUGAACCAGCGGAGGGAUCAUUGCUGGAACAAACGCCCUCACGGGUGCUACCCAGAAACCCAUUGUGAAUCAUACCUAAAAUGUUGCCUCGGCAGUGGUUGGCUUCUUCGGAGGUCCCUUUCGUAAGAAAGGAGCAGACCGGCCGGUGGCCCUAUAAACUCUUUGUUUUUGUAACAUCAUCUGAGUAAAAAACAACUAAAUGAAUCAAAACUUUCAACAACGGAUCUCUUGGUUCUGGCAUCGAUGAAGAACGCAGCGAAAUGCGAUAAGUAAUGUGAAUUGCAGAAUUCAGUGAAUCAUCGAAUCUUUGAACGCACAUUGCGCCCGGUGGUAUUCCACCGGGCAUGCCUGUUCGAGCGUCAUUUCAACCCUCAAAGCCUCAGCUUUGGUGUUGGAGGAAGACCUGUAAAAGGGUCCCCUCCCAAAUUUAGUGGCGGGCUCGCUAGAAUUUUGAGCGUAGUAAUUUUACCUCGUUUUUAAAGACUAGUGGGACUUCUUGCCGUAAAACCCCCCAACUUUCUGAAAAUUGACCUCGGAUCAGGUAGG
rnacentral:rRNA from 1 species